AACACAGGAAGAGAGAGGCACAAUGAGAGAUUCAUGAUUGGACAAGUGACCUGUUACAUAGUGGCAACCUGAAAACCAGUAUCUAAUAAUAGCCACCUGCCCAUUCCUUGAACUAGUGUUAACUAGUAAGCUGGAUUGUUUUUUCAAAGUUCCCAAAAGCAGAGAAGAAAUCAUUGCUAAAGCAUUGGUUUAAUGCAAAGACUGAAUUUUUCAAAACUGCUAAGUAUCUGGAUUUCUGUUACUAAUUUCUACCACCAAAUAGGAAGUUAAAAUAGUGUAAUGGUUUGUAUAUGUUUGGGGAGAGGAGUGGUACUGUUAGGAGGUGUGGCCUCGUUGGAGUAGGUGUGUCACUGUGAGGAUGGGCUUUAAUAACCUUCCCCUAGCUGCCUGGAAGGGAGUAUUCUGCUAGCAGCCUUCAGAUGAAAAUGUGGAACUCUUAUCUCCUCCUGCACCAUGCCUGCCUAGAUGCUGCCAUGUUCCUGCCUUGAUGAUAAUGGACUGAACCUCUGAACCUUCCAAUUUUAAAACUUCCUAAUUACCACCAGUAGGUAACUUUUCCUAUUUGUCACUGUUUAAAGAAACCAAAAAGACAAAUGGUGCAUCUAUUAUCGUAAGAUAAGAGUCCCCUACACCCUGAAAUACUCAAAAAUAGCAUGUAACUUGCAGGAGUCAGUCCUCUCCUUUCACUACAUCGCUCAUGAUGAUCAAACUCAUGUGGUCAGCAGCUGCAUUUAUCCAUGGAGCCAUCUUGCCAGGUCAUGACCUGGGAAGGACAUCAGUAUGAGGAUACAGGUGAAACCGAAUUGGCUGUGAGUUUGUAAUGGUAAGGCUGAAUGGUGGCUAUGUAGUGGUUGUGUAUAUUUUUUCUGUCUGAUAAAUGUUUUAAUUUUUUUCCAUGACAAAAAUAAGAGAAAGAAGGAAAAGUAGGGGAAAGAAAAGAAUUGGUAACUAUGGGGUUCAAAAAGUAUCUGUUAAAACUAUUCCAGGCUUAAAACAAAGGAAAAGGGAUGGGGAGUUUUUCCUUUUACACGGAAUGACUAAAAAUCCCUAGAAAGAUGCCAGGUGGCUCAAGACAAGGAUAUACUGUCACACUUAUGAAUGAGAUUAGUUUCCAAUUGGCUUCAAAUUGAUUCCAGGGUCAGGAGUUUUAGAAGAAGCUCCAUAAAUAACUUGCAUAGUGGAACUUUGUAUAAUAAUCACUCAUUUGACAUUUUCUCCUUUCCAGUUUUUAUUUUUAAAUGCAUAUAAAAUUUCUCAGCCAUGAGCCUUUUUUUCCCCUUCCUACAUCUGGUACCCAUGAUACACAAAAGGCCAGUUCUCUAUUUUUAGCUUUUGUGGGUCUGAGCAUUACUUCUAGGUUCAAUAAAUAAAAAUGUUCAUUGAUACAUGUUUGGAGGAAAAGGUAAUUUCAUAAACUGGGUGCUGAAUAUCAAUGGACUCAUGUAGAACUAUGAUGAUUUUGAUAAAAAAUAAUAAUGUCUUAUUAACUGCAUAAACCACUGAAGCAUAAUAUGAAGUGUUGACACGGUAAUCAAAAUCAAACUAACAGAGGUGUCCCCACUUGUAUUUGUGAAACCAAGAUAUUCAUAAAGCUUAGUAACUGUAUUAAAACAACUUUCUAUUUAUUCCUGCCUGUGUUGAUGAGUAUCAAGUCUCAAUUAGUGGACCAACCACAUUAUUUUUUUUAAUGUUUAAUUUGUGAAUAUCUGUUAUAUCUUUCCUUGGGCCUUUAAAACUAGUAAGAAAAAUAAAUUUCUGCCUAAAACAAAACAAAACAAAACAAAGCAAAACAAAAAACUGAAUGUUAGCAUUCACCUUAGAAGCAAAGCCUUCUAUAACAUUUGCUGUCUGCUUGUGCCAAAUUGACCUUCAUAGUAGCUUCUAUAAGAAGGACAAUUCUAGAUCAUAGAAAUCAUGAUCUAAAACUUGCUUAAACUCAUAAAUAUAGAUGACAAUGUCCUUUGGGAUCUGUCUCGAGUGCCUCAUCUCAGAACAACAGGAAAUUCUCUUCGUGAAUCAUUCUGUGUGGAUGGACUUGAACUUUACAUAACCAAUUGGGAGCUUCAUGGCUGCUGUAAGGGAUUACAAAGCUCCAGUUGCCUUAAACUUGUUAUAGCAAGGGUGUCUGCACUUGGAAAGAUUCCAACUGGUGCUCCACCAGGGAAAUUUUUCCUUUAUACUUAUCCUUGAUUGUUUAUGGUUGAUGUAGCGGUUUGGUCAGGUAGAAAACCUGGCUCCCAUCAUUUCUGGUUUCAAACUAUCUCUUAACACCCUAAGAUUGAAAUAAUAGGUGAGUCUUCUUCAAUGUUUCUUCUAACAAAUAUUUCUCAAAAUGAUAGAGAAAUAUAUAGUCCCCAUACCCAAGUAAUUCAUUGCUAUUUCAAUCUGUUCCUGGAAAUAUGCAGAUUACAAUUUUUUGUAUUGAGGAAAUGUAUCUUCUAUUAUGUUAAAUUGCAAAAUAUAAUGUGUGUGUUCUUAGCCAUACUAAAGACAAUCAUUAAAAUACUCUUGAGCCC
rnacentral:lncRNA from 1 species